rnacentral:sRNA from 1 species
UGUCUACAAUUGAGGCAUGGCCUAAUUC